rnacentral:rRNA from 1 species
UCGAGAAUCUUUGUCAAUGGACGAAAGUCUGAACAAGCGACGCCGCGUGCGGGAUGAAGGCCUUCGGGUUGUAAACCGCUGUCAGUUGGGAGGAAGGCUCCGUGAAGAGCGGAGUUUGACCGAUCUUCAGAGGAAGUACGGGCUAAGUUCGUGCCAGCAGCCGCGGUAAGACGAACCGUACAAACGUUAUUCGGAAUCACUGGGCUUAAAGGGUGCGUAGGCGGCAGGGAAAGUUGGGUGUGAAAUCCCACGGCUCAACCGUGGAACUGCGCUCAAAACUGCCUUGCUUGAGGGAGAUAGAGGUGAGCGGAACUGAAGGUGGAGCGGUGAAAUGCGUUGAUAUCUUCAGGAACACCCGUGGCGAAAGCGGCUCACUGGAUCUCUUCUGACGCUGAGGCACGAAAGCUAGGGUAGCGAACGGGAUUAGAUACCCCCGUAGUCC